CUUCAGUACAAAGUGAAGGCGAAAUUGAUAUGACAGUUUCUGAGACAGACCGCCAAACUGAUGCGAUUGCAGUUCAACGGGCAUUCACUGCUGCUAAAAAGGACUCUUAAUUCUCAAGUCCAAGGACUCUAUCAUGUGUCAGAGGUAAUAGCAGCAUCGCCCUCUGUGAAUCACGAUGUUGAAUUGCCUAUUGUUCCUCAACUCCACAAGGUUCCAAGAGUACUGCCAUCGAGAGUAGCUGCCAUGUUUAAAGUAUUGUGUCAUUAUGAUUAGCAAAGAUGGAGUCAACCACAUUGCCACAUGUCUCUAAUAUUCCUAUAUAACCGUACCCACGGUAUUUGACAAACAAGGGGCUCAACUACUUGCAGU